UACGUUUUUACGAAGUCUAACAGCAGCGGCAGUGACUGGUUUUGCGCAGCCACGGAUGAAUGUAUUAAGGAUAAAGAAAGGACAAAGUGUGGUAUAAGUAAAAAUGGGAUCUAUAGGAAUAAUGAUGAUGAGAUGCGAUGAAUGAUUUGAUAUCCAAAUGUGACUGAGGAAGACCUAUACAGAGACGUAUGAGAAGAUAUUUCGGAUUUCAAAAUCACUUUCUGAAUAGCUUUCUUUAAAGAACGAGUCGGAGCUCACCUGUAUUCCCAAUGGCAAACUUGUAUAUGCUCUUUGCUGUUUCUCUCAAAUUCCCAGUUUGCAGAUCCGUAUUUACAAGGGCAAUUCGGAACUUUGUAUUGUUGAUAUUUGGCAACGCUAGGUUAAUUACUAAGGCUUGAAUUAUCGUUGUUUGUAUUAGUAAUACGAAGGGUUAUGUGACAAACAGUAUAUGAACAAUAUGAGUUUUUAUUUAUGAUUUGUAUGCUUUCAAAAAAGAAAAAGGAUACUGAAUAUCUUUUCUAAGUAAUUGAAAUACAUUUGAAAAUUUUAUCGCUAUUACAUUCUCUC